UUAUCUUAAUAUACAGAAGAUCAGCCCUAAAGGCACUCGGAUCUGGCUGAAAAGCCCAUGAGAGUAUUUCAGGCAUGGAAAGCCAAGACACUCUGGCAAAAAGAUCUCUGUGAGUGAGAUCCCAGUGGAAAGAACAGGUCUUCAAAGAGGGAGGUGCCUUUCUCUGAAGGGAGGAGAGAACCUCCACUUUGACUAUGACCGUGUCUAAACAAGAUAAGAGUCGGAGAACUCAAGGGGCUUCCAUAGCCUUGGAAACUCAUGACUGGAGAAUAGGGAGAUUACUGAUGCCAUAAACAGGAGUGUCAAUUUGUAAAGUCAACAACAGGAGUCACUGUGCACUUACUCCUCAUGUAGGAUCUCUGUCCUUAAUGUGCUGUACACUGAGGCUUAAUGCUAUAACGAGUACUCAAACAGUAUAUUUCACUUUGUGUUUCUAUGGGGGUGCAAACGAUUGAAAUCUUUACUUAAUGUACACUAAACUGAUCUUCUGUAAAAAAAAAAAAGAAAAAGAAAUUAUCAAUUCCCAACUUGACUCUCACUGGGAUUAAACAUGACAAUAGGUCUGAUCUGAUUUCAUCAUCAUUUUAAAAAAAUCAUCUAUUAUUUUUCACUUUAUGUUUCUGUGUGGGAGCAAACUGUUGAAAUCCUUACUUAAGGUAUACUAAGCUGAUCCACUGUUAAUUUUAAUAGAAAAAUAUUUUCAGGUAACUUUAUACUCAAAAUAGUCACUAUUCACUAAGUAAAAAGUUCAACAAAUAGUAUGAAGAAAAUAAAUUGUUUCUCAAAGUGAGACAAGGCUUGUAAAAAAAAGCAUCAUAUCUCAAAAUACUCAUUUUAUUCCUACACAUUAUUACCUGUUAAAUACUCUAUUAGUCACCGCAGAUCAGGGACAACAUGUGGUAUUUGUCUUUUGGGGACUAGCUUAUUUCACUAAGUAUAAUGUUUUCUAGUUAUAUCCAUUUUGUUGCAAAAGACUUCAUUGCAUUUUUUCCUGCUGAAUAGUAUUCCAUAGUGUAUAUAUACCAUAGUUACUUUUUUCAAGAUUCAUUUUUCUGAGAGGCAGAGUUGAGAGAGGGAGAGACAGAGAACGAGAGAUCUUCCAUCUGAGAAUGAGAGGUCUUCCUUCUGGUUCACUCUCUAAAUGGAUGCAAUGGCUAGAACUGGGCUGAUGCAAAGCCAGGAGCCAGGAGCUUCUUUUGGGUCUCCCACGCAGGUGCAAGGGCCCAAGGACUUGGGCCAUCUUCCACUGUUUUCCUAGGCCUUCAUCAGGGAGGAUCCAGGCUUCGAACAGGAACACCUAUGGGAUGCUGGUGCAGCAAGUAGGAGGCUUAACCCACUUUGUGCUGGCCUCCAUAAUUUCUUUAUCUAAUCAUCAUUUGAUAGACAUCUGGAUUGAUUCCAUAUCUUAGCUGUUGUGAAUUGAGCAGCCAUAAACGUGGGUACAGAUAACUCUUUCAUCUGCUGAUUUCAAUUUGUUUAGGUAAAUUCCCAUGAGUGGCAUUGCUGGUUCAUAUGAUUCAUCUAUUUUCAGCCUUUUGAGGUGUCUCCAUACUGUCUUCCACAAUGGCUUCACCAGAUUACAUUCCCAGUGGAUUAGGAAAACGUUUCUUACCUGGAGCACAUCGGAGAUCAACACAGUCUUAGCCCGGAGCCAAGACUGCUGUCACCCACGUUUUUGACGCUGCCUGGCAGCUUCCGGUGCUGCUGUGCUUACUGGGAGGAAGAGGCGGGUCCUAGAUGGCUGGCGCUUGCGCAGUCGGCCUGGUGGAGAGCAAGACGGUAUUAUCUGCUGGUGGCGGCAUGUCGUCGGCUGCCGGAAUUCUCGGCUGAUGGCAGCGUUUUCGGCAGCUGUACUGGCCCAGAGAGUGCGGGAGUGAAGGCUGACGGCCGUGGGGGCAGGCGGCGGCUCAGCUGUGGGAAGCGGAGAAGCGGGUGGCUGGGCUUGCGCUGGAGGACAGGACUGCGGGUUACAAGGUAUGUUUAUUUGUAACCUCUAACUUAUUUAUUUAGUCAGUUCUAGCAGUGUUUUUGGUGGGUGUUUUAGUUUUCAUUGAUUUUUAUGAGUCUUUUUAGGUUGUCUAUAUCUUCUGGAUUUAAUCUUAGUAGGUCACGUGUAUUUGUUAUCCAGGGAUUCCUCUGUUUCUUCUAGUUUUCCAGUUUAUUAGCAUAUAGUACUGAAUAGCAAUUUCUCUGAAACCUUGUGUUUCAGUGAUGUAGAUUAUAAUCUCUGCUUUUUUUCUGUAAUUUUAUUUACUGGAGUUUUUAUCAUUUUUGUUAGUCUGGUUAGAAGAUUAUGUACUUUUUAAAAUUUUAUAUCAGGUAUGUAAAUUUCAUGUAUUUCUUAUAUACAGAUUCAAACAUACUGAUACUACUUCCCAUGCUAGCAUCUCUCAAGCCUGCACUCCCAGCCUUCUUCUUCCUCCUUCUCUUGUUCCCACUCUUAAU